rnacentral:sRNA from 1 species
UAGUAUGGAGGUUCUGCUAUAAGCGCGCCGUCCUGCCGCAACGCAGAACUGACCUGCAUCGUGCAGU